rnacentral:tRNA from 1 species
GCCGGGAUCGCAUAACCUGGUAGUGCGCCAGCCUUGAGAGCUGGUUCCCGAGAGGGUAUCUGGGUUCAAAUCCCAGUCCCGGCG